UGGGGAAUAUUGCACAAUGGGCGCAAGCCUGAUGCAGCCAUGCCGCGUGUGUGAAGAAGGCCUUCGGGUUGUAAAGCACUUUCAGCGGGGAGGAAGGCGGUGAGGUUAAUAACCUCACCGAUUGACGUUACCCGCAGAAGAAGCACCGGCUAACUCCGUGCCAGCAGCCGCGGUAAUACGGAGGGCGCAAGCGUUAAUCGGAAUUACUGGGCGUAAAGCGCACGCAGGCGGUCUGUCAAGUCGGAUGUGAAAUCCCCGGGCUCAACCUGGGAACUGCAUUCGAAGCUGGCAGGCUAGAGUCUUGUAGAGGGUGGUAGAAUUCCAGGUGUAGCGGUGAAAUGCGAAAAGAUCUGGAGGAAUACCGGUGGCGAAGGCAGCCCCCUGAAAAAAGACUGACGCUCAGGUGCGAAAGCGUGGGGAGCAAACAGG
rnacentral:rRNA from 1 species